AUCGCCGAGCAGUGACAAGGAGGCUUUUCUGAGCAGCACAGACGCUCUGAGCCAAACUGCUGCUGCUGCACAGAGCGUGACAGACACAAACCUCCCCUGUGCUGAUGCUCAUCUGAAUCUAAGCAAACAAACAGAGGAGUCAGAGCACAGCGUACAGGAGCAAGAAGAAGAAGAAGAGUGACUGCUCCUGAAGUGCACACAGAGCUGCAGACAUCACUCUGCAGGCCAGAGGACAAAGUGACACCGAUGGACGCCCCUGCUCAGUCCUCGAUGGAUGAGGGACAAGAAAGCAAAAACUCCUCGAGCACAGGAAACCCUGCGAUGGAUGCUACAGGCGGCAAAGUGAAGAAAGACUCAGCCGAAAGGUCUCCCGUGAUGAACGGUGAGGCUGAUGCCGCAGACGACAGCAAGAAAUCAUCAAAGUACAAAACUGUGUCCUACAGAAAGAUCCCCAGAGGAAACACCAGGCAGAGGAUUGAUGAGUUUGAGUCCAUGUUUAACUCAUGAACGAGCCUUAAAUAAAAUAUAUAUUAACAUGUAAUAUUAAUAUAUAAUGUAUGUCACAUGAUUUGCUUUGGUUAACCAAGUAGCUGUUUGUGAUUCUGUUCUUGUAAAUUAUGACCCCUACCAGUGACACAAGGCUACAGGGGACCCAGAGCAGAGCCUUGAGGUACUUUAACCGAAUGUUGCCUAUGUGUUCUCUGAUAGGUGGACCUAAUUUUGCAUGACUGUGUUUGUACCUGUUGCUUGCUUGGGAAGCUCAGGUGGCAUUUUUUUUUGUUUUCCUCUGGCUUCAUUAUCCUGCAGCACUUUAGCGCGGUUGUUAGCACCGUUGCCUCACAGCAAGAAGCAAGAAGGUCCUAGUUCUAAUCCACCUUGGCUGAGGCCUGUGUGUGGACUUUGCAUGUUUUCCCUGUGUCUGUGUGGGUUUUCUCCAGAUACCCCCACAGUCCAAAGACAUGCACUUAGUGGGGUUAGAGUAAUAUGUGAUUCUAAAUUGGCCAUAGGUGUUAAUGUGAGUGUGAAUGGUUGACUGUCUCUCUGUGUUAGCCCUGCAAUAGGCUGGCGACCUGUCCAGGGUGUACCCUGCCUCUCGCCCUAUGACAGCUAUGAUAGGCUCCCCACCACCCCCCACAAUCCUGCAAAGGGAUAAGCGGAAGAAAAUGGAUGGCUGAGUUCAUCUUCCCCAGCUAUCCAUCCUCUCCCUGGCUGCAUUAACCUUAAACUCUCAGCCCAGUAUAACUCAGAUCUUUAGUUUCCAUCUGAACAGACCUUUAAAGGAAGCCCUGACUGCUUGCUACCAUUGCUCCACAGUACACCAUGCAAGCCCCUAAACUUAAAUCCAUUUCAUGUUUUAAUAUUGGGUCAUUUUAAUAUUGCAGAGGAUUUUAGACUCUUCUGCAGGGCUAAUAAUUAGUUUAAAGGAGUAGGCUAUUUUUUUUUUCCUUUCUGUUUUCAGGUUAAUUUUUGUAGUUUUCAUACCCCUGAACAGAUGGAAGAGUUUUGUGCAUUAUAUGAGAAAAUUUGAAGGUAUAAACAUAAAUUUAUUUAACACAAUUACAUAUUUCUUUCUGAGUCAUUCUUUAACUGACACUUAACCUACCGGAUGCUUAUAAUUGUGAAGUCUUUGAAACAAACAAAAACUCACUCCUUAUAAUAAACUGAUGUAUGUGAAUCAUUGA